AGUCUAUACAGGAAAUACCAAUUCUAGGGCAAGAAAGUCUGAUCACACACUGACUGAGAAAACCCCACUGACCCAAAAUUCAUAAUGAGAGCUUUUAUGUAGAAAGUUGUUGGGCACAGCGAUCGUACUGAAAGAACUGUUCGUUCAAAGUCUCAAAAGCUUUUCUUGGAAAAAUAUCAGAUGCUCCACUGGGAACUUAGUCGAAGGAUACUCCUAAAGCGACACAGUGGACUGGCAGCGGCUGUGAAAGUACUGACUGGAGGGAAAACAGAAGGGAGCAUUUCUUCAUUGGAGAUCGGCCACAGGCAUGCAGGUUUUGGCUGGUUCCCCACUCUCUGCUAGGCUCUACACUGGUGUGAAGUUUCUUCUGUGUUGAGGAUGGCCCCGACGUGCCUGCGGUGCCUGCUGCGCUACCGCUCCGCCGCGGUCCUGCUGCUCACCCCGCUGCUGCUGCUGCCGCUGCCCGUGGCCGUGCCCACCCCGGUGAGUGCUGGAGCCCCCCGCCCUCCUCUGCCCGG
rnacentral:lncRNA from 1 species